CACACUUGUCCAAGGAGAGGUGAAGCAGUGGAGGGACCAUCAAACACUUUGAUGCUCUCUGUUUCACAGCUUGAAGAAGGAGCAAAUCUAUUGGAAAAAGCACAGUGAGAACCACCUGAGCUCCUUGGCAGACACACAGGUUACACUGGGCAGAUCAUUCCCUGUCCUUGCUGAGGAUUGCAAAGUGCAACUGCUGUAAAAGAGUUGUCAUGAUUAUAUUGCUGAAACACCCAGGGAUGAGCAAGGCCAGAUUGUCACAGAUUAAAAGGAGAAGAUUGCACAGAAACCACUUUGCAGACAGAACUUCCUUAGCCCCACACUAGGAGCUACAGAAGGACAAAAGGAAUCAGCCUUUCCUUCCUGAGGUAAGGAAACAAGCACAGCCCUGAAAGUCUGAAUUCCUUUCAGCACAGCUUUAGCAAAGUACCUGUUCCAAGAUAUUCACCCUAUUUUAAGGUGAAUAAGGACCAAAGCUCUGAAAAAAUUACAGAGUAUUGCAGAGUAUUUCUCAGUGCAUCAGAGAGUUGCCAGUCCUUAAAGCUCCUGAGGCUGUGCCAGUGGCCCAGGUGUGCUGUUACCUGGCCUUGGGUCAGGCUGGUACCUGGGGGUGGGAGCAGCCAGGGCUCCCUCAGGAGCUGCUGAGGGCAGCACAAACCCCACAGCUGUGCAAACAGGGCUUCUUCCAACUUGACUAGAAAAUAAAGUCAAGACCUUCUUGAAACACAGUCAGGUGCUUUUCUUCCAUUGUAAAUUUUUUUUUUUGACAAAACCAUUUUCUUUUAUAAGCAAACUGGUAUAUAAUGCAUUUGUAAUGAUACUGAAUUUCUAAUCUCAGACCUAUGCCUUCUUUAAAACAACUCUCUCUGAUUUUUAACUUGCUUUGAGGAUUUUGAAUGCAACUGUCUCUUCAUUCUGAAAUGUACUUACAUUGCCUUUGAGUGUGGAGGCACUAAAUACAUGUUUAAAGAUGUUGCACUGCAUUUGAAUUCCCUUUGGUUUCUGGAAAUGCUAAAUUUGCAUUUACUCUGUGUAGCCUUUUAUUUCUCAAACCCACACGUGUACUUGCAAGCAAUUUUCAGAUGUUAACAUCCCUUUUGUGCCUGGAUGUGACUCUGCAGUGAGUGUGUGAGCUGGCACGUGGAUCCCUGCCAGUCAAUGCUGUGUCCUUCAGAACCCAAUGCCCUUUAAAUCAAUUCCUGUGAGAUGCAGAGCACAGAGUUAGGACUGUGGUGGAGUUUUGUGUGAACUGAGCACGAUUAGAACUAAAGGAACAUUGAGAAGAAACAAAGUCUUGAGAAAAAACA